rnacentral:rRNA from 1 species
UGUGCCAGCAGCCGCGGUAAUUCCAGCUCCAAUAGCGUAUAUUAAAGUUGUUGUGGUUAAAAAGCUCGUAGUUGGAUCUCAACAGCCUUGAAGCGGUUAACUUUGUAGUUUUACUGCUUUAUAGGCUGUGCUUUUGCUGGAGGUUUAGGGGUGCUCUUGAUCGAGUGUCUCUGGAUGCCAGCAGGUUUACUUUGAAAAAAUUAGAGUGCUCAAAGCAGGCUAAAAUGCCUGAAUAUUCGUGCAUGGAAUAAUAGAAUAGGAUGUCGAUCCUAUUUUGUUGGUUUUCGGGACUCGACAUAAUGAUAAAUAGGGACAGUCGGGGGCAUUUGUAUUCAAACGACAGAGGUGAAAUUCUUGGACCGUUUGAAGACAAACUACUGCGAAAGCAUUUGCCAAGAAUGUUUUCAUUAAUCAAGAACGAAAGUUAGAGGUUCGAAGGCGAUUAGAUACCGCCCUAGUUCUAACCAUAAACGAUGCCAGCUAGCGAUCUGCCUGCGUUUUUACUGUAGACUGGGCAGGAAGCUUCCGGGAAACCAAAGCAUUUGGGUUCCAGGGGAAGUAUGGUUGCAAAGCUGAAACUUAAAGGAAUUGACGGAAGGGCACCACCAGGAGUGGAGCCUGUGGCUUAAUUUGACUCAACACGGGAAAUCUCACCAGGCCCGGACACUGGAAGGAUUGACAGAUUGAUAGCUCUUUCUUGAUUCGGUGGGUGGUGGUGCAUGGCCGUUCUUAAUUGGUGGAGUGAUUUGUCUGGUUAAUUCCGAUAACGAACGAGACUCUGUCCUGCUAAAUAGUUGCGCGUUCUUUUCAAGAGCCGUAAUCUUCUUAGAGGGACUAUCGCUGUUUAAGCGGUGGAAGUUUGAGGCAAUAACAGGUCUG